rnacentral:rRNA from 1 species
CAGUCGAGCGAGCUUGCCUAGAUGAAUUUGGUGCUUGCACCAGAUGAAACUAGAUACAAGCGAGCGGCGGACGGGUGAGUAACACGUGGGUAACCUGCCCAAGAGACUGGGAUAACACCUGGAAACAGAUGCUAAUACCGGAUAACAACACUAGACGCAUGUCUAGAGUUUAAAAGAUGGUUCUGCUAUCACUCUUGGAUGGACCUGCGGUGCAUUAGCUAGUUGGUAAGGUAACGGCUUACCAAGGCAAUGAUGCAUAGCCGAGUUGAGAGACUGAUCGGCCACAUUGGGACUGAGACACGGCCCAAACUCCUACGGGAGGCAGCAGUAGGGAAUCUUCCACAAUGGACGCAAGUCUGAUGGAGCAACGCCGCGUGAGUGAAGAAGGGUUUCGGCUCGUAAAGCUCUGUUGGUAGUGAAGAAAGAUAGAGGUAGUAACUGGCCUUUAUUUGACGGUAAUUACUUAGAAAGUCACGGCUAACUACGUGCCAGCAGCCGCGGUAAUACGUAGGUGGCAAGCGUUGUCCGGAUUUAUUGGGCGUAAAGCGAGUGCAGGCGGUUCAAUAAGUCUGAUGUGAAAGCCUUCGGCUCAACCGGAGAAUUGCAUCAGAAACUGUUGAACUUGAGUGCAGAAGAGGAGAGUGGAACUCCAUGUGUAGCGGUGGAAUGCGUAGAUAUAUGGAAGAACACCAGUGGCGAAGGCGGCUCUCUGGUCUGCAACUGACGCUGAGGCUCGAAAGCAUGGGUAGCGAACAGGAUUAGAUACCCUGGUAGUCCACGCCGUAAACGAUGAGUGCUAAGUGUUGGGAGGUUUCCGCCUCUCAGUGCUGCAGCUAACGCAU